GUUGUUGUCAAGCUAGCAAACAAAGCUACAGGGCUGCCAACUCUCACGGUUUCCCCGUGUGACACGCGUGUUUCCAUGUUUUCACACGCACUCACGCCACACAUCCAAUUUAUUACGCAAAAAAAACAAAACUGCGCUGGUUCAUCUAAACGGCGCAUCUAUAACCCGAUUCGCUGCACGUAGCGUAACUUACACCCCCCGUCAGCCGUAGCUUCACCGCCAACGUCUCACUCCAAGGUUUAGUGAAAAGUAUCCCUAUAACAUUACAAAGAAGCCGACUCGAGAGCACUUAAUACUAGCAUCAAUAUGCUAGUGUUUUAUAACAAGCUUGCUAACAUUGCUAACGAGAUGUCUGCUAGCGGCUAAACUUACUUUGUUUAUGACAAACUAGCAAGUCAACAAUUUUCCAAACAAAGUCAAACAUCAAGCAAGCGCAACACAAGACAAAGCAGAGGUCUAUGGGGCGCCGUUUGUAAAAUGUUGCACGUCCUAAAAUCCUGCACAGUUUUUCCACAUUUAGCAUUAUAUAAACGAAAAAACACGACAAUAUUCACAUGUCACUUUUUCAAACAUUUAGAGAGAAAUUCAUUUAGAUUCAUGCAAUAACUUUUCCAAGGAUAAUGUUUGGCAGUAACAAAGUUGUUAAAUAAUAUAAAUGUUAAAUCUAAAUGUAAAUCUAAAUGUUUAAUCUAAAUGUAAAUGUUAAAUAGGGAGCCGCCGUAGUUAUUUUAUCACAAAAUGACACAGCAGGAAUACGUGUAAUGUCUACACUGUUAUUAUAGUUGUGUAUGUUUGUACUGCACAAUUAUUUUGUGAGAAAAGAACACAUGUGUGGAUCAGAAAGAAAAUGUUACCAGAUAUUUUACGCUUGGAGUUGAUGUCAACCCCCAAAGUUGAGUCCCGCAGAGCUCUUUCCACGCUGCACCAUCUUUGGCCACCAGACGGCAUCCGGCCCCCACUAACGCGCCAACGGACCAACACAACCCACAGUAACGUUUAACAGUAAUCAGAGACGUCGUGCUGGUGGCGCAGUGGGACACGCCGACGUUGUCUUCGUGUGAUUGAUCAUUGUGUUCUGUUGUUAUCAUUACUGGCAUGUUAGGGGAUUUCUGCCUCGACUUUCCCUUUGCUAAAUGUCCCCGUUUGUUGCCGGUGUUCAAUGAAUAGAUCAUUCUUCAUAACGGUAAAUGGGAGAUAAUAAACAAACAUGGACAACCCUAUUGGGCUCCAAGACCGAAGCCUGAAUGCUAUUCAUUUACUUUUCAUUUACUACCCUUGCUUCCUUGUUGAAUCCUCCCUCAGGCGGAAACAAAACCAUUCAAACCGUCCCCAGAUUGUUUUAGUCUAGACUUCCUUUUGAAAAUACACAAUUCAACUUCUGAAAAGGCGCACAGACGUGGGUCCGCGCGGUCCAGCCCUGUUGGCACCUCGCUCCCUUCAAAUCCACCCGUCUACUUUUAGACACGAGGGGCUCGGAUCCCUGGCAGGCGUCCCCCCUUCACAGCCACCAGGUAAAUGUGGCGGUCAGUUGGCGGGACACCGGUGCCACAGAGGGCCUGUUGACACGGUCAGUCGGUGGGAGACAAGCCAGAGAAUGUGAGAGAGCCUCUAAAGUCACUUGGUCCUGUCUUCCUGGUGUGGACAGAAGGCAGGCAGGGCUCAGUUGAACAAGCAGAUGUUUUACACUGAGGCCGUUACCCUCAUUUCCUGGGCGGAGAGAGCUGCUCGCUCUGUCAGACGAGUAACAGGAACCUGAAAAAAAGAGAAAAAGUUAGAGAGAGAGAG
ensembl:lncRNA